rnacentral:misc_RNA from 1 species
CGCCAGCCCCUCUCCUCGUCUCUCGCUCGAUCAAUCUUCGUCGCCUGCCGUCGCCGCCUCCAUGGCCACCACCAGCGAGCUCGCCGUUACCUACGCCGCCCUCAUCCUCCAUGAUGACGGGAUUCCCAUCACGGCUGAGAAGAUCAGCAUCAUUGUGAAUGCUGCGAACGUGAAGAUCGACUCCUACUGGGCCCCGCUCUUCGCCAAGCUUCUCGAGAAGCGCAGCGUUGAUGAUCUUAUCCUGAGCUGCGGAUCUGGCGGUGGCGGUGCCGCCGUUGCUGUUUCAGCCCCGAGUGGUGGAGGAGCUGCUGCCGCCCCGGCAGAGGCGCCGAAGGCUGAGGAGAAGAAGGAGGAGCCGAAGGAAGAAAGUGAUGAUGAUAUG